rnacentral:rRNA from 1 species
GACGAACGCUGGCGGCGUGCCUAAUACAUGCAAGUAGAACGCACAGUUUAUACCGUAGCUUGCUACACCAUAGACUGUGAGUUGCGAACGGGUGAGUAACGCGUAGGUAACCUGCCUGGUAGCGGGGGAUAACUAUUGGAAACGAUAGCUAAUACCGCAUAAUAUUGAUUAUUGCAUGAUAAUUGAUUGAAAGAUGCUAUUGCAUCACUACCAGAUGGACCUGCGUUGUAUUAGCUAGUAGGUGAGGUAACGGCUCACCUAGGCGACGAUACAUAGCCGACCUGAGAGGGUGAUCGGCCACACUGGGACUGAGACACGGCCCAGACUCCUACGGGAGGCAGCAGUAGGGAAUCUUCGGCAAUGGACGAAGGUCUGACCGAGCAACGCCGCGUGAGUGAAGAAGGUUUUCGGAUCGUAAAGCUCUGUUGUAAGAGAAGAACGGGUGUGAGAGUGGAAAGUUCACACUGUGACGGUAUCUUACCAGAAAGGGACGGCUAACUACGUG